rnacentral:rRNA from 1 species
UACAGGGGGGGCAAGCGUUGUUCGGAAUUACUGGGCGUAAAGGGCUCGUAGGUGGCCAACUAAGUCAGACGUGAAAUCCCUCAGCUUAACUGGGGAACUGCGUCUGAUACUGGAUGGCUUGAGUUUGGGAGAGGGAUGCGGAAUUCCCGGUGUAGCAGUGAAAUGCGUAGAGAUCGGGAGGAACACCAGUGGCGAAGGCGGCUACCUGGACCAGCAUUGACACUCAAGCACGAAAGCGUGGGGAGCAAACAGG